rnacentral:rRNA from 1 species
AACGAACGCUGGCGGCGUGCCUAACACAUGCAAGUCGAGCGCGAAAGGAGCAAUCCGAGUAGAGCGGUGCACGGGUGCGUAACACGUGGAUAAUCUGCCUCAGGGUUGAGGAUAACCUUCCGAAAGGUUGGCUAAUACUCGGUAAGCUUACGGUGACUUUGGUCGCUGUGAGAAAACUAGACCUCUAUUUAUAAGUUUAGGCCCAGAGAUGAGUCCGCGGCCCAUCAGCUAGUUGGCGGGGUAACGGCCCACCAAGGCUACGACGGGUAGCUGGUCUGAGAGGACGAUCAGCCACACUGGAACUGAGACACGGUCCAGACUCCUACGGGAGGCAGCAGUGGGGAAUUUUCCACAAUGGGCGAAAGCCUGAUGGAGCAACGCCGCGUGUGUGAUGAAGGUCUUCGGAUCGUAAAGCACUUUCGACUGGGACGAAAAACCUUUGGCUAACAUCCAGGGGCCUGACGGUACCAGGAGAAGAAGCACCGGCUAACUCUGUGUCAGCCGCCGCCGUAAGAC